CGGCCGCGCCGAGAGAGGAACCACUUCUUAGAAGCUGCCGUUAUUUUAAGAAUAAGGAAGGGGCUGGAGCCGUUGUGACACACAGGAGGGGAUGUUGGCAGCAUUCAACUUCCAGAUUUCUCGGCGCAGCCCGUGCGGUGCUCCCCGGAAUUUUGGAUGCAAAACUCGCCUUGAAAUUGCCUUACAGGAAAGCCUUUUUUUUUUUCCUUGAAAUUGCAGUAGAGGUGGGAGCCCUCAGGAGCAUUAACAUUUAGGAAUUAAUUUGAAAGCAAGCAAACAAAAAGCCUCGUGGGGCCGAGUUACGGAGUUUUCCAAAAAUCCAGCCUCUAGGCAGGGCUUUGCCCUUAAGCCAGCGCGCGGUGAGCCCGGUUGGUAGUCAAAGCCCGAGGCACCAAGCUUUGCUCAAGGUCAGGAAUUGAAGGGCAAGAUCCUGGCGCUGUUGUGCUGGGCUGGGCCAGAAAGGGCAGAUAUAGCACAGGCAGGGGCCAGGACCAGGCAGGGCCAAAAUAGCCAGGGCCAAAUGCACGCCAGGGACUGGCCGUGACAGCAAAUCUGGUUUUAUAAGUAGUAGUCAAAGGAUGAGGGGUGGGAGAAACUGGAUACCAUCGACUUGAGAAACCACUUAGGAUUUGCAUUUUGUCCUCCCCAUCUCUUGCCCCAGCCCUCUCCUGGGCUGUCUUUGUACAUUCAGCGCAGGCAAGGUCUUUUUUUCCCCCCUUCCUCUGUUUAAAAUGACUUGAAAAUGGGCGCACAGGGAGCAAUCCUGUAUUUCGGCAGGGAUCAGCAUUUCCCGGCGCUCAGCACACACCGUCGCACACUCACUCUUGAAACCGGAGCAUUAAGAGCAAAUUGCACUGGCCGGUCGCACCUCCAGCGCUGCCAAACCCGGCGAGGCUGCAGGAGAAACAAAGCCAGCCCUGUCCUCGACUGGAGCUUCUCGGCCGUAUCCGCAUCCCGUUUUCCUCCCCGGCCCAGCACAAAGGCUGCACCGAAUGGCAGGAGCAUAUAGCCAGGGCUGGUUUGUGCCAGGCAAGUCAGCUCCCUCCAUUGCUAAUAAAUAAUUCCCCAUGGUCUUGCAUUUAGAGGUGAAAGGGAAGAAGCAGAGCACAAGUUGUUGGCUCCUUUGCCUGCUUGGUGCAUGGUUCCCGGAGCACACACACCUCGGCAAACACUUGCACGUGCUAAAUCUUGCUAAGGUUCAAAGAGCUGAUUUUAGUCCUGCUGAGCUCCACGCAGCCCCAAAAGAUGAGGUGGUCUCACCUAAAUCACCCUACACUCCGAGCAUCUGCAAGAAAGAACGGGCUGGGAAAAGGGAUUGCUAUUCACAGCCGGCGCAGCCCUUGCCAGAUAAAUCAGAUGCUGCUGCUGCUGGGAUGGGUUGUUUUGGCACGCCGGGGCUUAUUGUUCGAGCACCAACAACUAAACAUGCACAUGCAUGUGGUAUUUUUAACCUGCAGUUUAAUUGCAAGGGGUUUCUCCAUAGUUUAAAUGGGAAUUGCUGUGCUUGAUUAGCAAAAUAUAUGUUGAGUUCAUUACCACCCCAUCAGCCGCUUCCCCUGUGCAAAUAAACUCCGGUGGAUGCGAACUUCCGUUCUCCCCACUAGUGAGCAGUGGGAAAGUCGCUCUGAUUAUUUAAUAGAGUUAUUUCCAUCUCAGACCUCACCAACGAGGUAGCCAAGGGCUGUCCAGCCACCCAGCUCCACCAUCUCCCCACCUUAGUCCUCUGCUCUGCCGCAGCUCGGACCCGCUGUGGUCCCAACGCCAGCUGCACCGGGACCGGAGGGGUUUUUUGGGCUAUUUCCCCAGCUCCUGGAAGACUGAGUUUGAAAUCCUGUUUCUCCUAGAAAGCAUCUGGCUUGCGACACAGGUCAGAGCCUGACACGCCGGCCUGCCUCUGCUCCUGCCAGCACACUUGGCUACCUUAAUCCAGCCCGUAAGCCCAGCCCCGAGGACCGGCACCAGCAAUCCAGAGCAGGUUACCAAACACUGACACCACCAUUGCCUCACCCAUCGUUUUUGCACUGAAACUAUUUUGGGGCAAAACUUCGAGGACGAGGUCCAGGUCCAGGGUGAGGCCAAAGCUUCUCGUUUCUUAGAGUUUCUGGACCAUGGAACACUGCUGUCAUCCAACCAAUGCAGUUUUACUCUAACAAGCAUAUAAAGUCUUGAAAUCUUGACUAACAGGUUUGAGUACAGUAUUCCAAAUUUUAAUUUAAGCUUGUUCGAUCUGAACAGACCCUAACCUUCGCCAGCAACUAGCAGAGGUGGGGAGGCGACUGUGCAUUCUCUAACUCAGCCUUUAGCAGGAUGAUUAAAGCCAACAGUUCGUUGGAUGAAAAGCAUACUGAUCUGAAAAUUCUGCUUUUCACCUGCACAGAAGAGUUCUUCUUGUAUAGUAGGCUUUUCUAUAUAUUGUUUCUGUAUGUACUGUACAAGUAACUUAUUCUUGAAUAAUGCAAUUUGACCAUAAUAUAAAAAAAUCUGCUUUUAAUAAACCGUUUUUAGAACUUG